rnacentral:rRNA from 1 species
GACAGAGGCCCCAAGCGUUAGGCGGAAUCACUGGGCUUAAAGCGUGUGUAGGCGGAUCGUUAAGUGUCUUGUGAAAUCCCACGGCUCACCCGUGGAACGGCUGGGCAUACUGGCGAUCUUGGGCCAACUAGGGGCAGUCGGAACAAGCGGUGGAGCGGUGAAAUGCGUAGAUAUCGCUUGGAACGCCGAAGGUGAAAAACAGACUGCUGGGGUUGCGCCGACGCUGAGACACGAAAGCCAGGGGAGCAAACGGG